rnacentral:rRNA from 1 species
CCUUAACUCUGUGUCUGUCAAACCUAAGGCUUAACCCUGGACGUGCAGGCGAUACGGGCUGACUUGAGUACUACAGGGGAGACUGGAAUUUCUGGUGUAGCGGUGGAAUGCACAGAUAUCAGGAAGAACACCGAUGGCGAAGGCAGGUCUCUGGGUAGUAACUGACGCUGAGGAGCGAAAGCAUGGGUAGCGAACAGGAUUAGAUACCCUGGUAGUCCAUGCCGUAAACGGUGGGCGCUAGGUGUGGGGUUCCUUCCACGGGCUCCGCGCCGUAGCUAACGCAUUAAGCGCCCCGCCUGGGGAGUACGGCCGCAAGGCUAAAACUCAAAGAAAUUGACGGGGGCCCGCACAAGCGGCGGAGCAUGUGGAUUAAUUCGAUGCAACGCGAAGAACCUUACCUGGGCUUGACAUAUAGAGGAUCGCUACAGAGAUGUGGUUUCCCUUGUGGCUUCUAUACAGGUGGUGCAUGGUUGUCGUCAGCUCGUGUCGUGAGAUGUUGGGUUAAGUCCCGCAACGAGCGCAACCCUUGUCUUAUGUUGCCAGCACGUUAUGGUGGGGACUCGUGAGAGACUGCCAAAA